rnacentral:rRNA from 1 species
UACAGAGGUCUCAAGCGUUGUUCGGAUUCAUUGGGCGUAAAGGGUGCGUAGGCGGCGCGGUAAGUCGGGUGUGAAAUCUCGGGGCUUAACUCCGAAACUGCAUUCGAUACUGCCGUGCUUGAGGACUGGAGAGGAGACUGGAAUUUACGGUGUAGCGGUGAAAUGCGUAGAUAUCGUAAGGAAGACCAGCGGCGAAGGCGGGUCUCUGGACAGUUCCUGACGCUGAGGCACGAAGGUCAGGGGAGCAAACGGG